GAGCGCCGGUGGGGCUGCGGCCCGGGGGCGGCCACGCGCGGGCCUCGCUCGGUCCCUGUGCUCGGCGUCGGGGUCCGCCGUGGACAUGAAGCACUACCUGUGGGAGCGCUACCGGGAGGCGAAGAGAAGCACGGACGAAUUGGUUCCUUCCAUCAUGAGCAACUUGUUGAAUCCAGAUGCUAUUUUCUCCAACAAUGAGAUGAGCCUGUCAGACAUUGAGAUCUAUGGCUUUGAUUAUGAUUAUACCCUGGUGUUCUACUCGAAGCACCUCCAUACCCUCAUCUUCAAUGCUGCUCGGGACCUUCUCAUCAAUGAGCACCGGUAUCCCGUGGAAAUUAGGAAGUACGAAUAUGACCCAAACUUUGCAAUCCGUGGACUACAUUAUGAUGUCCAACGGGCAAUGUUGAUGAAGAUUGAUGCUUUUCAUUACAUCCAGAUGGGAACCGUCUACAGAGGCCUCAGUGUUGUUCCUGAUGAAGAAGUCAUUGACAUGUAUGAGGGAUCCCACGUGCCCUUGGAGCAGAUGAGUGACUUUUAUGGAAAAAGUUCUCAUGGGAACACCAUGAAGCAGUUCAUGGACAUCUUCUCACUGCCUGAGAUGACCCUACUGUCGUGUGUGAAUGAGCAUUUCCUGAAGAACAACAUUGACUAUGAGCCUGUGCAUCUGUACAAAGAUGUCAAGGACUCAAUAAGGGACGUCCAUAUCAAAGGAAUAAUGUACCGAGCAAUUGAAGCAGAUAUUGAAAAGUAUAUCUGUUAUGCCGAGCAGACCCGAGCAGUGUUGGCUAAACUGGCUGACCAUGGCAAGAAGAUGUUCCUCAUCACCAAUAGCCCCAGUAGCUUUGUAGACAAAGGGAUGAGAUACAUCGUUGGGAAAGACUGGAGGGACCUGUUUGAUGUGGUCAUUGUUCAGGCCGAGAAGCCAAACUUCUUCAAUGAUAAGCGGAGGCCUUUCCGAAAGGUGAAUGAGAAAGGCGUCUUACUCUGGGAUAAAAUCCACAAGUUACAGAAAGGCCAGAUUUACAAGCAGGGAAAUUUGUAUGAAUUUUUGAAGCUCACUGGAUGGAGAGGCUCCAAAGUGCUAUAUUUUGGUGACCACAUAUACAGUGACCUGGCGGAUCUGACACUGAAGCAUGGCUGGCGGACUGGUGCGAUCAUCCCUGAGCUGCGGUCCGAGCUCAGAAUCAUGAACACAGAGCAGUACAUUCAGACUAUGACCUGGCUGCAGACCUUGACUGGGCUCUUGGAACAGAUGCAGGUUUACAGAGAUGCUGAGUCGCAGCUGGUUUUGCAGGAGUGGAAAAAGGAGAGGAAGGAGAUGAGAGAAAUGACCAAAAGCUUCUUCAAUGCCCAGUUCGGGAGCUUGUUCCGCACUGACCAGAAUCCGACCUACUUCCUGAGGCGCCUGUCGCGAUUCGCUGACAUCUACAUGGCAUCUCUGAGCUGCCUCCUGAACUACGACGUCCAUCACACGUUUUACCCCAGGAGGACUCCCCUGCAGCACGAGCUCCCUGCCUGGUCGGACAGCCCCUCCGCCUUCAGAGCGCCUGUGCUGCAGGAGGCCCAGGCCAAGUAAUCCUGUGUCUGUCCAAAGAAAAAGCCAGAAGCAGCCACAGGUGAACUUGACAAGGUCACUUUAAGUGGGUCUGAGAGCUGCUUUCUGAAGAGUCAAGUACGUCUUUUGAUGUUCAUUUUCUACCCUGGGGAGAAUAUGCCCAGGUUGACAGGAGCUAGCUACCUGCGGCCUGGCCUUCUUCCAUACAGAGGCCAAAUGUUGAAACUGAUGCAGCCUCAUUUACUGCAGAGCCAGUGUCAGGCCUUCUGGGACAGCUCUUCCUGGAAGUGAAUAACUCAUGAUCGUUCCAUAUGGAGAUAAAGGCCCUCACCAACCCCAGUUUGGGACAGCCUUGAAGAGCCCUCCAACUCCAGAGGUCCCUGUGAGGUCAGCAAGACCUCCUUGUCCCUGCAUUGUAGCCCAGGACCUGCCCUGCCAGUCCUGUGCUCUUCCCUUCCUGUCCUUCUCUUCCCCUUCCAAGUGGUGAUCCCAGCCACACUCUGCUGAAGGUCUUUGUGCAUGUGCGUGCCCCCCGCCCCGUGACAGUGCUUCUGUGUUUCUGUUAGUGCGGGCUUGAACUCCCAUGUAGGACUCUUUCCUAAUUGUGUAGUGUAAUGACAGAUUGUGCCUAUAUGGUAUCAGGCAUGAUAAAUGCAAACUACGUAGGCUUACUAUUUAUUCUGAAUGUUAAUUUAUUUAUUCUACAUGUUGAUUUUAUGUGUUAAGUGAUGAUGAACUUAUAGCCAAAUAAAAGUUUGAAUUGUACCUUC